GCCGCCACCUCCGGCGAGUGCCCACGUGAGUAAAGAUAGAGAAACGACGGCGAGGAGUAGAUAGCCGAGGAUGGAAACAUCGUGUAGGUUUUGGGAUCCAAAAACGGCAGGUAGUGCGAGCAUCCAGUAACUCGUUUCUUUUGAUGCCAGAUUCAUCAACUCCAUUUUGUAUUUUUCCUUUUUUUGAUUUGAUAUUUUUUUUUUCUUGUCAGAUAAUGAACAACGUACGAACCAAUAAUAACAACAACAAAAGAAGAAGAAGCAAAAUAUGUUUUUCUCUGGGAGAAAUUAUAAAAUAGAGCAAGAUUUUACGAGACGAUCAAGGAAAGUACUCUUCUUUUGGGGGGGGUGGGGUGG
rnacentral:lncRNA from 1 species